AACGCGAAGAACCUUACCUGGGCUCGAACGGCUUCUCAACGCCGGUGGAAACACCGGUAUCCCGCAAGGGAGUGGAGUCGAGGUGCUGCAUGGCUGUCGUCAGCUCGUGUCGUGAGAUGUUGGGUUAAGUCCCGCAACGAGCGCAACCCUUGUCCUGUGUUGCCAUCAUUUAGUUGGGAACUCGCAGGAGACCGCCAGCGAUAAGCUGGAGGAAGGUGGGGAUGACGUCAAGUCCUCAUGGCCUUUAUGUCCAGGGCUACACACGUGCUACAAUGGACGGUACAAUACGUCGCUAACCCGCGAGGGGGAGCCAAUCGCUAAAAACCGUUCUCAGUUCGGAUUGCAGGCUGCAACUCGCCUGCAUGAAGCUGGAAUCGCUAGUAAUGGCAGAUCAGCACGCUGCCGUGAAUACGUUCCCGGGCCUUGUA
rnacentral:rRNA from 1 species